GGUUGGCCGGGUCACCGGACACAAUUUUUAAUCUAGAUACCCUAAUAAUGAUUGUGGCCAAGUUUGGUAAAAAUUGGCCCAGUAGUUUCAGAGGAGAAGAUUUUUGUAAAAGCUAACGACGACGACGACGACGACGACGACGACGACGACGACGACGACGGACGACGGACGACGGACGACGGACGCCAGACGCCGGACGCCAAGUGAUGAGAAAAGCUCACUUGGCCCUUUGGGCCAG
rnacentral:lncRNA from 1 species